AUGUACAAGACGCCAAAGGGGGUAAUGUUGGUAUUUCAACACAUACGCUUCUCUUCCACAUUAUUGCAGGUGAUUGAAUGCUGAAACUAAAGCAUUCGUGCGUUUCCAUCCCACCCAACCAAGCGUCGCUCCCUCAUGUUCAUAUAGAACCCCAGUCAAGCGCAGAUUAGGGUCUUUCUUGCUUGCGAAUUGCCCUCGUUGCUUCAACAAACCCUAAUUUUCAGAUCUCAUGGAUUUCCAUAGCCUUACCAGAACAGAUCUUCAAUCUCUCUGCAAACUGAACAAGAUCCCUGAUAACAUCACCAAUGUCGCCAUGGCUGAUGCUCUCCAAUCUCUCGAUGUGGUAAGUUGUUUUGUUUUUGUUUUAAUUUGAUUUGUUGAUUUUUAAUUCCUCAUUGCAGCUGAUUGUUGAUUACCUCAGCCCUCGUUCUUGGUUUAAUACUUGGAUUCGAUUAUGAAAUGAGGAUAUGUUGUUUGUAAUUGACAAAAUUUAUGAGUUUUAUUUAGUGUUAUGGAUAUUAAUUCCUGGACGUUCUAAGUAAACAACCACCUGCUGUUGUUUCUUCGGUCUCAAAUUGCAACCCUAGGAUGAAAAAUUGCAGAAGAGAACGGUUGGAUGUACUAGCGGUGACAAUAAGGUUUUCCUCAGUCGUCAGCGGCGUUGUGGUUCAAGGUUGUGAAACAGUUGGGGUGGUGGUUAGGGUUCAGCCAUAAAAGGGUCUUACGCGUCUUCCAACGGCUAUGGUUCCGCCAUGAAAUAGUGGCAACGACGAUGUAUUCUUCAUCAGAAUCGGUACGGUUGGGGUAAAUUUUUGGGUUACCGUGUUCUAUUAUUCUUCUCUGGUAACUAUCAGUUGGUGGUUGUGGAGUUUUUCCACCGGAGUUCGUCAGUUUUUCAAUUUGAGUUGAUUGAGAAAUUGUUUACAUCUCCACAUUUCAUAUUCUGAAGAAUCGCUGCUCAUAGUCAUCCUUGAUGUCAUUGAUCAAAAGUGGGUAUAUACACUCUACUGUAUUUUUGUUCUUAAUAUGUUACUAUAACAUUUAGAGUCCUUGCCUUUCGUAUUCAAUUUGAUGAAUUGUUUCGCAUGUUUUGUGUUUGUAAAUAUAUUAGAAUUAGAGUUUGCUUUGGUUAAUGGCAACUGACAUGGUGAGGGGUCAAAUUAACUUGAAAGGGAGUGGCUCCAUGCUAGGGGCGACAAUUCUUGACACGAGCCAUCAACCCGACAUGAAAAAAACAAGAUUAGGUCGACUAACACAACCCGUUUAAAAAAACGGGUCGGUUCGGGUUGACCGUAUUAAAAGCGGGUCGGGUUCAGGUUGACCCGUAUAAAAAACAGGUUGACCUAUUAACCCGUUUAACUAUUUAGAAAAACAAUCUUUUAUAUUUUUUUUUUUUGUUUUUUUUCCUGUUUUUAUUUUACAUGGUUAGUUAUAAUAAUGUUAAUUUUGAUACAUUAUAUUAUUUAUUAGUCACACUCAUACUCAUCAUUAAACAUGUUAUCGGUAACCUGCUUAAAACCCAAUAACUCGAUAACAAAUCAUCAACUUAUAUGACUCAUUUCAAAAUAUGGGUUAAACGGGUCGGGUUCGGGUUGACCCGAAUUUAUAUGGGUCGGGUUUGGGUAGAACAUUUCAACCAGCCAACCCGCAACCCUUUAACCCGCCAACCCAUCAACCCGACACGAGUGACACCCCUACUCCACGUUGUUUACAUUUAGUUUAUGUAUUAGUUCAUGCAAAUUGAUGGAUUAUGCAAUACUCUGUUGAAUAAUCCCGUCGAUAGUGUAAGAGAUGUGUUAUAGCCUCAUAACUCUAAAGAAAUUGGUAUUAGUUUGCUUGAUUGAAUUGUUGGAUGAUUGAACAUUUGUUUGUUUGAGUUAAUAUGCAUAGUGUAGACCAAUACAAUUACUUCAGCCACUAAUGUUUCAGUUUCAGCCAAAUUUCCUUUUUUUAUAGCUAAACAGUGGGAGCAUGUAGGACCCCUUGCACCGAGUGAACCAAAUGGUAUUUCAGAAUAUUGGCAUCAAAUGCAAAGCUGAUCGUGUUGAUGGCGGUUACUUCUUAAAGGGAACAAGCUGUGGUGCAUCAAUGGUCCCAUUGAUCAAAGCCCUUAAUGUUUCAGUUUCAGUCUAAUUGCCUUUUUUUUUUAUAGCUAAACAGUGGGAGCAUGUGGGACGCCUUGCAACGAGUGAACCAAAUGGUAUUUCAGAGUUGUAGAACUUGAUUUUCUUUACCCAAGUGAAGGAAUACAUCGUAGAUGGGAGAGUGGGUACAGGAUACCAUCUAUGGCUGCCACACCUGAUCAAGCAGCGUUCAUUUUGAGUUUCCCGUGGCGUAAAAUAAUGGACGAGACACAAGAAACCUUGAGAACAUCCGCCUUCCAGAGUACCCAUGUGAAGGAAAAAUGGUCAAAGAACCAUUAUAUUGCAUCCUGUGUUAUGGUUGAACCGUAUGCUGACUGAUGCUGGUAACAGAGGCUACAUUUUACUGAAAACCCCCACUGGAGUUGAAUACAUUUGGGGGUUUUAUAAACUGGGAUUCCGUGUGAACGGAAAAUUUUGGCGUAACGUAAAGAUGGCCGUGCUGUAUUACUAUGUAACAUCAUAAUAGAGUUGAUAAAGACAAG
rnacentral:lncRNA from 1 species